rnacentral:tRNA from 1 species
GGAUUUAGCUCAGCGGUAGAGCGCUUGCCUAGCAAGCACAAGGCCCUGGGUUCAGUCCCCAGAUCCA